CUGGAAUUUUGACAUGAAACUAAUUAUUUGUUCGUCUGCCUCGCCUCUCAAUCGCAAGUGAGCGUCCGUUCGUCGCCCCGGCCGUUCAUUGCCACCAUCCUGGGCCGUUCAACAUGACAGUGCCAAGUCGUUCGAUGCCCCAGCUCAGGAGGCCGCUGCUGACUCCCGUGCAGGCCGCCAAUGCCCCUGUGCAAGGUUCAAAGGCCAUGGAAUUCUGCGACCAUUUGAGCUGGGCGACGGACCUAUACAACAUCCAACAUGUCCUCGUACUACACCAAGCAUAACCACAAGAACGCUCGUGCCACAGCAGCGCCCAGGCCGUUCACCAUCAGCACCAUAGUCCGUUCACGGCUGACUAUCGAGGCCGUUCACCGCCAACACCUGAGGCCGUUCGUCGAUGGAACAAUGAGGCUGCAUUCUCCUCCAGCACCAGGCCAGUGCUAUGGUGAACAUUCAAGGCAACAAAGCACACCACAGGUCGCAGUGCUGCCGCCGACCACAUGUGUGCAUGCGUGCGAUUGGUAUAACUGCUGCAGCACUUCAGAAAUAUGAACAAACAAAGCUCAAAGCAAAGUGCUAUUAACUGGGUCUUCCUGGAGCCAAGAUCCAACGCGUGAGAGAGAAGGGGUCGUUGCUGUAAUAGCGACAACCGACACGCUAUAGCCGGCGUUGAACCUGACCCCGACCUCUACCGUGAUAGAGAAACAGUUUUCUCCCAACGACGCAGGCGGCUACCCCGUACUUUCACCUCCGUCCGUCGCCGCCGUCCGCACAACUCUUGAUGCCGGAGUCCACACUGUAUCGAUGCGCCGCUAUCGCUCUGCCGUCGCGUGCAGGAAGUUCAACGCCACAAUCCCCGGCCGUUUAAUCUUGCUGCCGUGGGUGUGCCCCGCUCCAACUCCAUCGCCUGUGCUUCACUAGUGAAACAGUACGACCUGAGGAACCACGGGGGGUCGAGGACGUCCAACUCGGCAGUCCAACUCGGCGUUAUUCGUGUCAUCGUUAGCCCCAUGUUUGCUGGCAAGACCACCGUGCUUCUCCGCUGGCAUCGACAGGAAGACGAGUCCCUCGUCCGGUACGUCCAGGUUGGUAUCGAUGCUCCGGCCAACUCCUUUGAUCUGCUCGGUAAAUGCCCACUACUAACUCCAUUUGAAGUUUUUCAGUUUUAAUCGCGAUGCUUUUCUACUCAUGACACUGGAGCCCCCACUGCACACAAGUGCGUGGUGGAAGUUUGUACCAGUUCGGAGAAAAAAGAAACAAAGUUCAAAAAGAAAAAUCAUGAGUUCACCUUCCAUAAAGUUUGAAGUACAGAGAUAUCACCUUGAUGUAGUAUGUAAAUAUGUAUUGCAAAUUUGCAAUUCAGGAAUGGGUGUGUGUGUUGUAGUCUCUGCCUACAGGGUCAAUAUGUGUUUUUGUAGUGCUGGUAGUUGUAGUCGCCCGCGCUCUCUGCCGUCAUCAAGGGCACAUGUGUGCCGUCCUCAGUCCAACCCCAUGGCAUUAGGGUGGUCGAGUUCGUCGCGACCAGCAGUCCAUGGCUGUCGGCUUCAACUUUAUUCCACCUAGGUGCUUACACUUCUUUUUGGAUGUUUUUUGUAUGAAUCUGCAUUUUGGUUAUUGAAUUCAGUACAACGAAACACAUGAAUCCCCGAUGCGUACCAAAUGACUGAUUCUUUUAAACAGUCAGUAGAUUAGUAGAUUUCACCAUUGGUUGGUCUACUUGUGUAAAUCUGUCAGUUCAUGACAAGUAAUUUCUGAUGCUAGAAAUGUAGGAUGUUUGUGUGAAUCUUGCAUGUUUCAGAGAGAAAAAAAGUUUGUAGUUCCAUCACAUGGUGUACUGAACAACAUAAACAUGGUGUACUGAACAAACAUACGCAUUCACAUAAACAUGCCAGCAACUCCUCUUGCUAUACUUGUGCUUGUACUUGUCUAUUUUCUUGUUUGGAAAAUGGUUUCUUAUCCUCCUAACAGCUUUUCUCGCAUUUCAUCUAAAUUUAGUUUCAGCUGAAACCAGAGCUAAUGCAUUUGUGGCAUUGGAUGAGGUUACUAGGAAGAUUUGCAUUAGAGAAUGUUGUGCUGGAAAAGCUUCUAUUGAUCUCCGUCCACGAGUGGUGCUGCCCCGCGUCCGGUCGACAGCGUCCACGAGUGCGAGCAGCCCGUAUCCGGCUGCAAGAUGAAGGCCACCCGUGAACCGUGCUUCCCCUAACCACGUCCACCUUGUGUGAGUUCGCUGCUGAGAAGAAGCACAAGAACCUACAGUUCCCGGUGGUCGCCUUGGCCACACUUGGCCACAAGCUCUUCCACCAUGGUGACUGGCAGCCAUCCAAGUGGAAUGCAGACAUCAGUCCAAGCAGAACUAGUUCAUAUAAACUGACUGGUUUACCCUAAGUUUCCACCGUUUAAGUUCAGUUCAAUUCCUAAUUUAGGUUCAGUUCAUAGGAGCACUUAAAAAUCAAUUAGUUUGUGUUACUUAUAUUCCAUGAACUUCUAGUACCAUAAUUAAUGUAGUAGUGACAUGAGCUCCCUCUCCACCACUCCAGGAUCCACAGCGUCCUCCCAGUCCGACCCCAUGGUGUACAUUAACUUGGUUGUUAUAGUUGUUAUAGCAGAUAUAGUACAAAACUCUUUUUAGGUUUCUUUGUGAACUUAUAAUGUUUACUGUACAUGAACUUAGUUGUUCUUUUUACAUGAACUUGUACAUUGCCUUGUCAGGUUGUGCGUGUACUACCCAUAGGAGCACUUGAAAAUUUAAGUUAUGUUUAAUUUCUAAUUUAAAUUUAGUUCAUAGGAGCACUUGAAAAAUCAGUUUGUUUGUUUUACUUAUAUCCCAGUAUCCGGCUCUGCUGCUAAUGCGACGAUCUCCUCUUCCAGGUCCGGCAGCCCCCUGUACUCCCACAAUCUUUCAAAUUUGAUCAUUUUUUUGCAGGAUGUGGAAAAACUAGAUGCAACAUUUAUGGAAAAAAAGAGAUGGAUUUAUAGGAAGAUGGAGCACUGGAACGGAGAAGACUCAGUUCACAAAACAAUCUGAAAAAGUAGCAGGAACAGGCAACAGUUUGCAAAAAAAUGAAGGUACAAAUAAAGUUCAUAAAAAUGCUAUGAAAUUCAUGUACAUCGUCUGUAGUGUGUUGCGUGAUGUGGCAAUAGUGCGUGCUGUAGUGUGUUGGUGGAAACUGAAUUGAAGGAUCUUCAAUAUAUGAACCACAAGAGAGGUGCAUCCUGUACAUCGUCUCAAGAUCCUUCAUGUUAAUUUAUCCUUCAGUCCAAAAAUACAUGAAUCACAAAGACAGCUGAUGUUGCUAUUUCUUUUGGUUGAUGCUCA